rnacentral:rRNA from 1 species
GACGAACGCUGGCGGCGUGCUUAACACAUGCAAGUCGAACGGAGCGAAUGAAAGCUUGCUUUUAUAAGCUUAGAGGCAAACGGGUGAGUAACACGUAGGCAACCUGCCGACAGGAUGGGGACAACAUUCCGAAAGGAAUGCUAAUACCGAAUGAAGCGCAGGAGAGGCAUCUCUCCUGCGUGAAAGAUGGCCUCUAUAUAUAAGCUAUCACCUGUCGAUGGGCCUGCGUCUGAUUAGCUGGUAGGUGAGGUAACGGCUCACCUAGGCGACGAUCAGUAGCCGGUCUGAGAGGAUGAACGGCCACAUUGGGACUGAGACACGGCCCAGACUCCUACGGGAGGCAGCAGUGGGGAAUCUUCCGCAAUGGGCGCAAGCCUGACGGAGCAACGCCGCGUGAGUGAAGAAGGUCUUCGGAUCGUAAAGCUCUGUUGAUGGGGACGAACGUGCCUAAUGCGAAUAUUUUUAGUAAGG